CCUUCGCUCUCCCUCUCUACCCCCCACCUGGUCUCUCUCUGUGUCUCUAUCUCAUUUUCUACAAGUCUUACUCAGAUCUGUUGUGCCGGUAGUGACCCCAGACGGUUCAAGUUUUUGAUGUCGGCGUUGACCUCUCUGCUUGAUUUAACAACAAUUUACCUUAUAAAGAGGUGCCAAGUUCAGAGCCAAGGGGUCUCAUCUUUCUCUGCCAUGGUUAUGAUAUGGAGUGUAGUAUCUUUGUGAAAGAGAUUUGGCUUGCGAAAGCAAGAUAUGCAGUUCAUGGUAUCCACUAUCAUGGUCAUGGAAAGCUACUGAUAAGUGUCUUGUCAUGUAUUUUGUUGCUGCAACUUGAAAUGAUGAAGAAUGAAUGGAGGCUUGUAAUGACAAAGCAUUCUUAUAUGCAUCUUGGAGUUCAAUUUGUUAAAUUUUUAUCCUCUUUGCACUUUAAUUCAACUAUAUAGAUUGGAACAUUGUAAGAUCAUAAGUUAUUGUUUGUGAUUAAUUGUAAUUAUGGUUAUUAGUUGGCAAUGAAAACUUUUGU